CAACCCUCACCCUCGACUGAUAGUCCUAUGCAAACAAUAGUCAUAACCUCUUUACCACUGCUAGAAUCCCCCACAUUGGAACUGGACAUCACAAAACGAAAGUAGAAAUUAUUUAAUAGUUUAAAGUUAUGUAUAUAGCAGUAAGUUUUAUUUUACAGCGGUCAUAAAGGAUCACGCUUACAGAUGAAUAUGUGAUCCAAAUAAAAUAAUAUUUUAAAUGUUUUUAUUAGAUAGUGCAGAUAGACAGGAAAGGGGAGAGAGAGAAGGGAUGACGACAGCAAAGGGACACGGGUCGGAUUUUAACCCGGGCCGCCAAGGACCCCAAUCCUAAAAAAACUUGAACUUGAAAAAAAAUGCAGGAGUACCUGACUAUAUUCCACAGAAGGGGCUGACAUCAAGGUGGCUGAGUGGCGAGGAAGUGUCUGGGGUGUCUUGGCAAGCUGUCUCCAUUGGCUCUGGACAGGGGCUUCUCAGCGCUGAGGUCAGGGGCAAAAUUAUUGGUAUGGAGAGGGACCUUGCAUGGGGCAAGCCAGCAGAGCAGCUGGGCUGAGGGGGGUGAGUCAUGCCGUCACUCUUUCCUUUCCUCACCUAUUUUACACAGAGAAAGAUGGAGAGAGAUGCCAACAACAGAAAACCAAAGAGAAACGAAAAACUGCUGCUGCCGUCUGGCAAACGACACAGAAGUAUCCGCUGUCGUACCACCAGACUACGGAGCUGCUUCCUUCCUCAGGGUGUAAGACUCCUCAGCUCAUCCUCUGUACUUCACCAUAAAAAAAAGUUUCUUUCUUUUCUUGUGUAGCAUAAAGGGACUACAACUUGCAAAUUCGUUGUUCACCAGUGUUGUAGAAUGACAAUAAAUGAACCUUAAAUGAAGGGAGGGAAACGAAGGGGGAGCCG